rnacentral:rRNA from 1 species
GGUUGAAUAACGCUUGAAAAACCUUCCCUCACUCAAGGCGGAUAUCCAUUGGAAAACGGUUCAUUUAAUUCCAUAUGUCAUGGACGCCUCCCAUGGAGCAGCCCAUUAUAGUUUUUAGGCGAUGGGAGACGUCUCGUCGUCUGAUUAACUAGGUGGUGUGAUAGCACCUCACCAAGGCGAUGAUCAGUAGCUGGCUUGAGAGAGUCCACGGCCACACGGGAGCUGAGACGCGGUCCAUACUCCUACGGGAGGCAGCAGUGGGGAAUAUUCCACAAUGGAGGCAACUCUGAUGCAGCGACGCCGCGUGAGCGAAGAAGGCAUUCGGUUUGUAUAGCUCUGUCCUUGGUGAAGAUAAUGACGGUAGCCAAGAAGGAAGCCCCGGCUACUUACGUGCCACCAGCCGCGUUAAUACGUAGCGGGCGAGCUUUGUCCGGAAUUAUUGGGCGUAAAGGGUACGUAGGCGAUUUUCUAAGUCAGCAGUUAAAGCGCGGGGUUCAACCCCGUAAAGCUGUUGAAACUGGAUACCUUGAGAGAUGGAGAGGCAAGUGGAAUUCCUAGUGUAGCGGUGAAAUGCGUAGAUAUUAGGAGGAAUACCGGUGGCGAAGGCGACUUUCUGGACAUCAACUGACGCUGAGGUACGAAAGCGUGGGGAGCAAACAGGAUUAGAUACCCUGGUAGUCCACGCCGUAAACGAUGAGAAAUAGGUGUCGGGGGUCAAACCUCGGUGCCGUAGCUAACGCAGUAAGCACUCC